rnacentral:rRNA from 1 species
GACGAACGCUGGCGGCGUGCUUAACACAUGCAAGUCGAACGGAAAGGCCCUGCUUUUGUGGGGUGCUCGAGUGGCGAACGGGUGAGUAACACGUGAGUAACCUGCCCUUGACUUUGGGAUAACUUCAGGAAACUGGGGCUAAUACCGGAUAGGAGCUCCUGCUGCAUGGUGGGGGUUGGAAAGUUUCGGCGGUUGGGGAUGGACUCGCGGCUUAUCAGCUUGUUGGUGGGGUAGUGGCUUACCAAGGCUUUGACGGGUAGCCGGCCUGAGAGGGUGACCGGCCACAUUGGGACUGAGAUACGGCCCAGACUACUAAGGGAGGCAGCAGUGGGGAAUAUUGCACAAUGGGCGGAAGCCUGAUGCAGCAACGCCGCGUGCGGGAUGACGGCCUUCGGGUUGUAAACCGCUUUCGCCUGUGACGAAGCGUGAGUGACGGUAAUGGGUAAAGAAGCACCGGCUAACUACGUG